rnacentral:lncRNA from 1 species
UAUGCACGACAAUGGCCAAAGCUACCUUGAGCAAUAGUCCCCCAGCCUUUUGGAUUUGCUAACAAGCUGGACCCACUGGUGUUUCAGUUCCCAUGGCAAAAUUUUCUGAGUCUACUUAAAACAUAGUAAUGACUCCCCCAAUAUCCUAACAGAGUAGGUAUACUCAAAGAAAGCUGGUGCAAGUUCUUAGGUUGGUAGCCA